UGUAAGCGUAUACCAAAGUUGUUGCAGUUAAAACGCUCGUAGUCGGACUUUGGCAGUUCCGGAUGUGUGCACGUCGUGUGCGCACUUCGCGGGGAUUGCUUUUGUGGUCUUGCGUAGGAUGAGGCACUUUUAUUAGUGAACGUCCUCACGCAACCACUUUUUACUGUGAGAAAAUCAGAGUGCUCAAAGCAGGCAUUUGCCGUGAAUGUAUUAGCAUGGAAUAAUAGAAUAGGACUUGGUUCUAUUUUGUUGGUUUGUUGGGACUGAGUAAUGAUUAAGAGGGACAGUUGGGGGCAUUUGUAUUUCGGUGCUAGAGGUGGAAUUCUUAGAUUACCGAAAGACAAACUGCUGCGAAAGCGUCUGCCAAGGAUGUUUUCAUUGA
rnacentral:rRNA from 1 species